UGGGGAAUAUUGCACAAUGGGCGCAAGCCUGAUGCAGCCAUGCCGCGUGUGUGAAGAAGGCCUUCGGGUUGUAAAGCACUUUCAGCGAGGAGGAAGGGUAGUGUGUUAAUAGCACAUUGCAUUGACGUUACUCGCAGAAGAAGCACCGGCUAACUCAGUGCCAGCAGCCGCGGUAAUACGGAGGGUGCAAGCGUUAAUCGGAAUUACUGGGCGUAAAGCGCACGCAGGCGGUUUGUUAAGUCAGAUGUGAAAUCCCCGCGCUUAACGUGGGAACUGCAUUUGAAACUGGCAAGCUAGAGUCUUGUAGAGGGGGGUAGAAUUCCAGGUGUAGCGGUGAAAUGCGUAGAGAUCUGGAGGAAUACCGGUGGCGAAGGCGGCCCCCUGGACAAAGACUGACGCUCAGGUGCGAAAGCGUGGGGAGCAAACA
rnacentral:rRNA from 1 species